rnacentral:rRNA from 1 species
AGCAGCAGCCGCGGUAAUACGUAGGUGGCAAGCGUUGUCCGGAAUUAUUGGGCGUAAAGGGCUCGCAGGCGGUUUCUUAAGUCUGAUGUGAAAGCCCCCGGCUCAACCGGGGAGGGUCAUUGGAAACUGGGAAACUUGAGUGCAGAAGAGGAGAGUGGAAUUCCACGUGUAGCGGUGAAAUGCGUAGAGAUGUGGAGGAACACCAGUGGCGAAGGCGACUCUCUGGUCUGUAACUGACGCUGAGGAGCAAAAGCGUGGGGAGCGAACAGGAUUAGAUACCCCAGUAGUCCCUGUCUCUUAUAA